GUGGGGAAUCUUGCGCAAUGGGCGAAAGCCUGACGCAGCCAUGCCGCGUGAAUGAUGAAGGUCUUAGGAUUGUAAAAUUCUUUCACCGGGGACGAUAAUGACGGUACCCGGAGAAGAAGCCCCGGCUAACUUCGUGCCAGCAGCCGCGGUAAUACGAAGGGGGCUAGCGUUGCUCGGAAUUACUGGGCGUAAAGGGCGCGUAGGCGGACAGUUUAGUCAGAGGUGAAAGCCCAGGGCUCAACCUUGGAAUUGCCUUUGAUACUGGCUGUCUUGAGUACGGGAGAGGUGAGUGGAACUCCGAGUGUAGAGGUGAAAUUCGUAGAUAUUCGGAAGAACACCAGUGGCGAAGGCGACUCGCUGGCCCGUUACUGACGCUGAGGCACGAAAGCGUGGGGGGCAAACAGGAUUAGAUACCCUGGUAGUCC
rnacentral:rRNA from 1 species